AUCACCAUCUCUGACCUCAAGCUAUACUACAGAGCAAUAGUGAUUAAAAACUUCCUGGUAUUGGUACAGAAACAGACACAUUGAUCAAUAGAAUAGAAUUGAAGACCCAGAAUAAAACUAUACACUUAUAGACACUUGAUCUUUGACAAGAAGCCAAAAAUUUACAAUGGGAAAAGGAAAGUGUCUUUAAUGAAUGGUGCUGGUCUAACUGGCAGUCUGUAUGUUGAAAACUGAAAAUAGAUCCAUAUUUGUCACCUUGCACAAAGCUAAAGUCCAGGUUUAUCAAGGACCUCAACAUAAAACCAGAUACACUGAAUCUAUUAAAAGAGAAAGCGGGAAAAGCCUAGAACUUGUUGGCACAGGGGGAAAUUUCCUAAACAAAACUUCAGUGGAUUAUGCUCUAAGAUCAAAAAUUGAUAAAUGAGACCUCAUGAACUGGAAAGCUUCUGUGAGCCAAAGGACACUGUCAAUAGGACAAAUCAGCAUACGACAGAUUGGGGAAAAAAAUCUUCACUAACUCCACAUUUAAUAGAGGUUUAAUAUCCACAAUAUAUAAAGAACUCAAGAAUCUAACCACUAAAAAGCCCUAAUAACACAAUCAAAAAAUGGGGUAUAAA
rnacentral:lncRNA from 1 species